rnacentral:rRNA from 1 species
GAUCCUGGCUCAGGACGAACGCUGGCGGCACGCUUAACACAUGCAAGUCGAACGAGAGAAGAGAAGCUUGCUUUUCUGAUCUAGUGGCGGACGGGUGAGUAACACAUGAGCAAUCUGCCUUUCAGAGGGGGAUACCGAUUGGAAACGAUCGUUAAUACCGCAUAACAUAAUUGAACCGCAUGAUUUGAUUAUCAAAGAUUUAUCGCUGAAAGAUGAGCUCGCGU